rnacentral:rRNA from 1 species
UACGGGGGGGGCAAGCGUUGUUCGGAAUUAUUGGGCGUAAAGAGCGUGUAGGCGGCUUGGUAGGUCUUGCGUCAAAACCUGAGGCUCAACCUCAGUUCGCGUGGGAAACCACCUAGCUAGAGUCCGGAAGAGGAGAACGGAAUUCCCAGUGUAGCGGUGAAAUGCGCAGAUAUUGGGAAGAACACCAGUGGCGAAGGCGGUUCUCUGGGACGGUACUGACGCUGAGACGCGAAAGCGUGGGGAGCGAACAGG